AUGAAUUAUGAGUUUAAUAGAUCCUCUUUAGCAGAAAGACGUAUAUUCCUUGCUCAUUAUCAGACAAUCACUUAUUCCCGAACCUCGUGUGGGACUAAUCGUUUUCAUUUACCAUCUCAUGGAAAACCCUUUUCGUUCCGCUUAGCCCUAUCGGGUAUUUUAGUGAUAGGUUCUGUAGGAACUGGACGAUCCUAUUUGGUCAAAUACCUAACGAAAAAUUACGAUUUUCCUUUCAAUGCCAACUAG
rnacentral:rRNA from 1 species